rnacentral:rRNA from 1 species
CCUACGGGUGGCAGCAGUGAGGAAUAUUGGUCAAUGGCCGAGAGGCUGAACCAGCCAAGUCGCGUGAGGGAAGACGGCCCUCCGGGUUGUAAACCUCUUUUGUCGGGGAGUAAAGCGAACCACGUGUGGUUCAUUGCGAGUACCCGAAGACAAAGCAUCGGCUAACUCCGUGCCAGCAGCCGCGGUAAUACGGGGGAUGCGAGCGUUAUCCGGAUUUAUUGGGUUUAAAGGGUGCGCAGGCGGAUGUUCAAGUCAGCGGUCAAAUUACGGGGCUCAACCCCGUACUGCCGUUGAAACUGCAUCCCUUGAGUGCGCGAGAAGUAUGCGGAAUGCGUGGUGUAGCGGUGAAAUGCAUAGAUAGCACGCAGAACUCCGAUUGCGAAGGCAGCAUACCGGCGCACAACUGACGCUGAUGCACGAAAGCGUGGGGAUCGAACAGGAUUAGAUACCCUAGUAGUC